GUAAGCACUGCAGGGGGAGGGCUCCAGGAAGCAGCUCCCCUGUCCUCCCGCGCAAUGCUGUGUGGUAACGCGCGGCAACGCUCCACACAGCAUCGCGCGGGAGGACAGGGGAGCGGCUUCCUGGAGCCCUCCCCCUGCCUCCC